GGCUCAGGAUGAACGCUAGCUACAGGCUUAACACAUGCAAGUCGAGGGGAAACGAUAUUGGAAGCUUGCUUCCGAUAGGUGUCGACCGGCGCACGGGUGAGUAACGCGUAUCCAACCUGCCCGUCACUUGGGAAUAACCUUGCGAAAGCAAGACUAAUACCCAAUGAUAUCUCUAGAAGACAUCUGAAAGAGAUUAAAGAUUUAUCGGUGAUGGAUGGGGAUGCGUCUGAUUAGCUUGUUGGCGGGGUAACGGCCCACCAAGGCGACGAUCAGUAGGGGUUCUGAGAGGAAGGUCCCCCACAUUGGAACUGAGACACGGUCCAAACUCCUACGGGAGGCAGCAGUGAGGAAUAUUGGUCAAUGGGCGAGAGCCUGAACCAGCCAAGUAGCGUGCAGGAUGACGGCCCUAUGGGUUGUAAACUGCUUUUAUAAGGGAAUAAAGUGAGCCUCGUGAGGCUUUUUGCAUGUACCUUAUGAAUAAGGACCGGCUAAUUCCGUG
rnacentral:rRNA from 1 species